AAUCGCUUCUACGGCAUAUCUCCACGCGAUGGAGAAUAGCAGAGGGCGAGGAGCCUGAGCCUCAGCAACAGCGGCAUGAUGCCGGAAAGCUGGAAAAUCACGCGUGGCACACCUGAAGCCACGGAUUCAAGCAGAGGUUGGUAGGUUGAUUCUCGAACACCUUGGGCUUG
rnacentral:sRNA from 12 species